rnacentral:tRNA from 1 species
AUAGUUAUGUCAGAUAAAAUGAAUUAUGUUGAUGUCAUAAAAUAUACUUUUAAAAGUUAACUAUA